rnacentral:rRNA from 1 species
GACGAACGCUGGCGGCGUGCUUAACACAUGCAAGUCGAACGGAAAGGCCCUGCUUUUGUGGGUUGCUCGAGUGGCGAACGGGUGAGUAACACGUGAGUAACCUGCCCUUGACUUUGGGAUAACUUCUCGAAACUGGGGCUAAUACCGCAUAUGAUCUCCUGCUGCAUGUUGGUGGUUGGAAAGUUACGGCUGUUGGGUAUGGACUCGCGGCUUAUCCGCUUGUUUGUGGGGUAGUGGCUUACCAAGGGUUUGAGGGGUAGCCGGCAUGAGAGGGUGAACGGCCACAAUAGGACUGAGAUACGGACCAGACUGCUACGGGAGGCAGAAGGGGGGAAUAUUGCAGAAUGGGCGGGAGCGUGAUGCAGAAACGCCGGGUGCGGGAUGACGGCCUUCGGGGGGUAAACAGCUGUGGAAUGAGACGAAGCGGGAGUGACGGUAAUGGGUAAAGAAGCAACGGCUAACUACGUG